UGGGCGGGGCUAAACCGGCCGUGUUGAAGUAGGCGGUCGAUCUUCUUCUGCGGGGGUGGUGUUUUAUCCUCUUUGACGUCAUACUUUUAUUGGACUAAAAAGGAUGUUUUCAGUUCUGAAACUUACAGGAUAUUCUUAUAAUAUGAUGACCUCUUAGAUGUCAAAAGCUCAAGGAAAAUUUGAUUUCUCAGUUCAUCACCCCUUUAAAG